UACAGAGGUCUCAAGCGUUGUUCGGAUUCAUUGGGCGUAAAGCGCGUGUAGGCGGCCCGUUAAGUCCGCUGUGAAAGUCCAGGGCUCAACCCUGGGAUGCCGGUGGAUACUGUCGGGCUCGAGUCCGGAAGAGGCGAGUGGAAUUCCUGGUGUAGCGGUGAAAUGCGCAGAUAUCAGGAGGAACACCAAUGGCGAAGGCAGCUCGCUGGGACGUGACUGACGCUGAGACGCGAAAGCGUGGGGAGCAAACAGG
rnacentral:rRNA from 1 species